GGGAACUGGGAUUGUUUAGUUUGGAGAACAGAAGGCUCCUGGGACACCUCAUUGCAGCCUUCCAGUACUUGAAGGGAGCAUUUAAACAGGAGGGGGAACAGCUGUUUACAAGGGUGGAUAGUGAUAGGAGGAAGGGGAAUGGCUGUUUAUGAGGGUGGAUAGUGAUAGGACAAGGGGGAAUGGUUUUAAACUGAGACAGGGGAGGUUUAGGUUAGAUAUGAGGAGGAAUGAUAGGACAAGGGGGAAUGGUUUUAAACUGAGACAGGGGAGGUUUAGGUUAGAUAUGAGGAGGAAGUUUUUCACACAGAGUUUGGUGACGCACUGGAACAGGUUGCCCAAGGAG
ensembl:lncRNA